UUUUUCUUGAGGAGCGUACUUCAGUCUGUUAUUUAUGACGAUUCGUGAGUUCUCUGCUGCCGGACGAUAUUUUUGAAGAGUAUUCAUCCAAGAUGUAAAAUUACGAGAGCGACAGUCCGAGUCAGUGAUCGAAGUUGUUUGCUCGCCGCGGUGGCGAGUAUAUUGAACCGACACAUUGCAAAAUACUCGAGGAAGGAUCCCCUAGCUGCAAGUUGUAGAGGCAAAUAUUGAUGGAACCAGAGAACCAGGCCCUAUUUGUAACUCGGGAUAUCCAGCGGGAGGGAAAGUCCGCUCCUUUGUGUGUUCUUGGUGUAACUAAUACAACGGCUACCGAACAUCGGGGGCAUAAUGUUGGCGCGUUUAUGCGUGCCUUAGGAGUACCUGGAAGGUACGUUCAACGGGUGUCCGUUCCUUGAAAGGGCAUUAGACGACCUCGCGAGGGUGGUAAUGGCACGUAGCAACCGGACAAUGGACCGAAACUCUCCACGGAAAGCUCAACUAUGUAUGCCGGUUCGAAUAGAAUAGGGGCGGGGUUUAAGUUCCGAAUUUGAAAAGUUCCGAAAGCGCCUAAAUCCGAAUUACUUGGUGGUGAAACUUGACCUAAAGAAAUCAAACUUUUACCAAACAACAAAGUUUCGAACGGCCGAAGCCCGAUGGUUCAAAGUUUCGAAAUGCAAGAUUCCGAAAAUUCAAGUUACGGUAGAGCAAAGUUUUGAUAGGGUGAAAUUCCGAAAAUUAAAAUAUACUUACACAG